ACAUCAAACUCAUUUUCUAUUUGACAUGAAAACAAGAAGUGAGUUGUCUGCUUAAUUCGGUAUAAGAAUGGGAAGAAAUUAGAAGUCAAAGAUCACCUUGCUUUGGAGGAAGAGUUUCUGAUGAAGACUCAGCCAAAGCAGCUUGGGAUAUUCUGCAUACAGAAUACAGAGGAGAUUCAAAGACAUCACAAAUUAGACUACAAAGGCUAAGGGAAGCUUUCUGGAGCAUAAAGCAAACAGCAAAAGAAACACUCAUGAAAAGAAUAACUGAACUCAAUAAUGAGAUGAAAUCAUAUGGGAGACAACAUGCCCGAAGAAUAUUUGCUGUAAAAACUGCUAUCUUCUUUGACAACCAAGUAUGAUCCAUAUAUACAUACAUCGGUGUGACAGAGCAAACCAAAAAACUUACAAACAUUGACAACACUGCAAGAAUUGUUAGAUGCAAGAAAACAGACUUGAAGAUAGAGAAGAUCACAAUUCAGACGGUGCCUUCUGAGCAAAGUUUGAGAAACCAGUUUAUAUACAUUAAAAAUCCAGUCAGACCUUUGAUGAUCAUGAUCACAAACCAAGAAAACAGAGAUGGUGCAG
rnacentral:lncRNA from 1 species